GGUCGAUUGAGGAGUACUGGGAAGGACAAACUACUGACUCCUUGCCUGACGCAACACAGCAUCAGACCCCUCCAAGGGGACGACACCCCAGAAGCAGCCAGACAAUGCUGGAUGGAGCAAUGGGUCCCAACUGUGAAACAUCACCCAACACAACUCAGGCAAGCUCAAGUUGGUGCCAGCCACAAGAGCAAAGCAACACCGCAAACAUCAGACUUCUGGUGAUGUUCUAGCAGAACAGAGAGCUAACAACCACCUGCUGCCCUCCUGCCACCAUCACAAGGUACCACGGAUAGCCUACUGGCUAACAACACCUACAAAUAACCAUCUGACUCAGACCAACUCACUUUAGGAUGACAGGUGACACUGCCUCAACACCUGCUGCACAAGCUUGAGGGCCCACACCUUGCUACAGCUUACAUCACCACAGCUCACCACUUGACAGCAUCCACCACGGCACCACAACCACUCCUGGAGGCAACCAGCAGCCCGAGAGCCACCACUGUCUCCCAGCCAUGAGCGGCAGGUACGUGUCUGAUUUCCUUCACCACUGACGUCGCUCGCUAUUGUAUAUUGGAUGUACAACAAAGUUCGAAAGGGGGGAAUUAUGUAACAUUUGGUCCAAUCAGACACACAAUUGUUCAUUAGAUUUAACAAAUCAAUUAUUCAUUAGAUUAACAUAUAAUCACAGAUCCCUCACCCAAUAAACAUACUGGGUGCCAGGAUGUCAGCGAAUGACCCCAGGCCCCAAGUUUCCAUGGCAACCACGAGCUACAAGAACAUCUUUAGGCAUUGAUCAACAUUAUCUUGAUGAUAAACAAUAGUUAUGUUUGUAUUUGUUUCAGGAGGUUCAAUUUGAAUCACUCUGUGACAUAUUCUGAUGUAACUGAUGAUGCCCUUGAUGACAUGAUCAAAGAUAUUGAGGCUGGGAAUGAUCAGCUUGGAUCUGAGGCUGUCAGGGCACAGUUACGGCCAGCUGGAGUACGGGUGCAGAGAGACAGAGUGAGAAAGAGUUUAAUUCGAACCAACCCCUGGGCAGCUGCACAAAGAAGACCACAGAGAUGCAGAAUUGUCAUUCAUGGUGGUAUAGAUGGCUACAGUCGUCUCAAAGUCUUGCUCCAUGCCUCAAACAACAUCUGCAGCAGCACUGUAAUGAAUUGCUUUUUGAAUGCUGUGGCCAGGUAUGGAGCCUUCUAAGGUCAGAACAGAUCAUGGAGGAGAAAACUGAUGUCUGUGUGAUGAUGAACAUUUUCAGGGGCUCAGAGAGAGGCAGUGCUAUCAGAGGCAGGAGCACUCAUAACUAGCGUA
ensembl:lncRNA